GGUGGACAUCACCGCGUCCCCCACGCCCACGCGCGCCCGCCUUCCUGCCCCAGGCCAGCCUCGCGGUGUCGGCCUUCCGCUCCCUCUGGCGGAGGCGGGGGGCCAGGCAGCGUUCGGAGCGAGACCGGAGACCCGGAACUUCAAGCUAAGCCACAGAGAUAGAGAUUUAAGUAAAGGACCCCCAAUCACCGGGCUGAUUUAACCACAAGUAUGCUUUCAAGGCAUGGAAUACCUCUCUCAAGCUACUGUGACCAUCCUAUCACCAAGUCUGUCCCCACACUGUCCACAAAUGCUUGGACCAGAAUAAUUCCAAGUGACCAAAGAGAACUGGCUACCACCAGCUGCAAAGACAGUGCUCCACUGUGACGGAACUACUAGACUGUUGGGAGAUUUGCCCUGAUACUUGGGACACCCGCGGAAGCCCACGAGUCCUCCUUGUGGCGGAGAAGGAGUGUGAAACAGGUGCUAUCAGAUGGUAAUGCUGAAUCAUGCACAGUGCUAACUUAGGUUUUCUAAUGUUUUAAAAUGUAACCUUUAUUAGUCAAUCGGCCCCAAAUCUUAGGACACAAAGAGUCAGUUAUUGAGGCCUGCACCAAGUGUUUUAUUGGCAUUUGCACUUAAUUUUCCUCAGACCUAUCUGAGCGAAAUGUUACCAUGAUGCCCUGUGAUGGUUAACUUUACGUGUCAACUUGGCUAGGCUGUGGUACCCAUGGUUCCAAGUUUGGGGCCAAACACCAACCGAGAUGUGGUUCUGAAGGCAUGUUUCAGAUGAGACUAACAUUUAAAUCAGUAGACUUUGAGUGAAGCAGAGUGCCUUCUAUAAUGUGGUUGAGUUCAUCCAGUUCAUCCAGUCCGUUGAAGGCCUUGAGAAGAAAGAUUGAAUUCCCCUGACGAAGAGGGAGUUCAGCUUCCUGAACACUUUGGACCCGAAAGGGCACCAGCUCUUCCCUGGGGCUCUAACUGCAGAUUUUACUUGUCAGCCCUCACAAUCCUGUGUACCAGUCCCUUAAAAUACAUCGUUGUCUCUCUCAUGUGUGUGUGUGUGUGCGUGUGGGGAGCGGGGGGCUGUGUAUUUUAACCCUGGAGAACCCUGACUAAUGCAUCUCUCUUUUACAAAUGACGAAACAGGUCCCAGAGAUAGAUAUUAAUUAGCUGUAGGACACGCAGCUAGUUAGUGGCAGGGUAGAGUGUGGGCUGCUGGUCCUUGAAGGGCCACCCUCCUCCUAGUCGCACAGAGAGCCGGCAUUCCUCCCCGCCUGUGGCCCGCAGCCACAUGAGGGGCACAUGAGGAGUUGCUUGUGUUUAAUCCUGUCAUCGGUUUAUUGGAAAGCUUUUCGCUGCAGCCUGCAUGAGGGAAAACGAUUUGCUUGGGAUGAAUGUGGCCACCAAUGUGCUAUUUCCCUUAAUCUAAACAGGGCCUCAGGCACACUUCAUUGAUCAUGCCUCUAAGCUGAGAGGUCGCCUUCAGGCUGGCCAGCAAAUAUUAUGUUUCUCAGGCAGCCCUAUGCUGUCAACCACAUUUCCUGAUCUACUCUGAUUAGAUAUAUAAACAGCUUCAGUAAAACAGAGCCCGAGCUUUGCUGUUAAAAAUGUAAGAUAAGGCUUCCAUAAAGAUUCAUCAACAGCAGAGACGCUGUCUAAGUUGGGUCUGAGCCCUCAGAGCUCACGGCUUCUUUUUUCGGUGUUGUAAGGAAGGUCAGUGGGCAAAUGCCUAUGAUUUAUCAUCAUGUUUUAAUAGUGCUUGUGCUUUGGUUAAGGGACACCUUGGGGAGAAGAAAGGGUUAAAAUAUUUGAGCAGGGUCACAAAGUGGUCUUGCAUUAAGAACCCAGCACGGAACUGACAUUACUAAAAGUUACUUAGUCAUUUUGUACCUGCUAAGAGGUAUCGCCCAGUCCCAGCUAAGAACCGGGAAGAAGCGGGCUGAUACCUGCAUGUUGCAGAAAGUUUAUGAAGACCAAACACUCCCUUGAAACUCAGCUGGGGAAAUGAAACAACUAAAACCAAACAUCUUCUACCUUCAACCAUCAUGACUGUUUCCGAUACAUUUUGUAAGAUACUCAAGUACAACGCAGGAGAAGUUUAUGAAAUUUGAUUAUAGAGACGUGUGUUUAAUCCGUGCAUAUUGCAAUAUCCUCUUCCACUGUUUGUCCCCAGGAUAGAUGAGAUGAUCUAAAGGAUUUGUCCACCUCCAGUUUCUUGGAAUGAGAACAUAUGCCUUUUCCAGAUGAUUUUCAGUAUUUAUUUUUCAGAAAGAAAGGGAUCGAUACCAGUUUUAAAGAAGACAAAGCAAGGUACUCAAAUACUAAAGCUAAAAUGAUACUGGCUGCAUGGAAGGGUACAUUUGAGGCACUUUGGCCAUCUCUCUGAAACGACUAGAAAAAAUGAGGAUAGAUGCAGUGCUGACUAAUCUGCCUAUUUUCAGAUGUGAUGCUGAGUUACAGAAAUGCAAAAGGGAGAGAAGGAGAAUCCCAAGUAGGCUUUGAGCUGUCAGCAUAGAGACCGAUGUGGGGCUCGAUCUUGGGAACCAUGAGAUCAUGACCUGAGCCAAAAUCAAGAGUCGGAUGCUUAAUCAACUGAGCCACCCGGCAGACCAGCUUGGCUCCACAAUGUCAAAGAGCAGAUGUGUCUUCCUGGGAGCCUGAGAAGAGCUGGAGCUGGAGCUGGAAGGAAGCAGAGCCGGGCUGACCACAUCAGGUCCCCUGCUUCAAGGGCCCCUGCCUCCCGCAAGGUGCACCGCUGUGGCCCUCUGUAUUCAGAGUAAAGGGGACCACGCAUACCAUCUCUCCUGAACAUCUAGUCUUGUGCUGUGAUGUCCAUGUCCUGACAAAUCGUGGUUCCUGCCUACUGAGUUUCCUGAUACAGCAGUGUUAUGCUUUUCUGAAGAUGGGGAUUUUCAUCCAAACCCUCUUUUAGGACUGCCUUCACACCUUCACACCUGAAUGUAUUCUUCGUUCUUCUGGAAUGUUUAUAGGGCUGCUCUGGCUCUCGCCACUUGCGACUGGAUUUUGGUGCGACUUCUAGAAUCUGAGCAUGGACCAGCAGCUACAGAAUUCAGGGACUGAGCAGAGAGGAGAAAUAAGGAGAGAGUCUGGGAGUGAAAGUGUGUGCAACAGGCUGUCUGCUCACAGUGAUGUGAGUGCAACACACACACACACACACACCCCACACACACACACACACUCCAGAGUCAGCUUGAGUAGAAGUUCUAGUAGGGAAGGAUGGGGUGAUGGACCAUGCAGGACCACACCUGCAAUUAGAGUAAUUACCUCUCCUGUCUUGGCCUGGCAUGGGCUCGCUUUACAUUCAAAUGUUCUGAGCUGAGUGUGAACAAAAGCCCUUCACUCAACAACUGGCUCAGACUUGAAAUAGGAACAAAAUGUUCAAAAAUAAACGAUAGUAAAUUCAUGGGUGAAAAGAGAAACGGAGUAUCAUAAAACUAGGUAAUUUGGCUUGCGAAAUAAGUGUUUGCUCUCUGGGAGCUUUCCCCUGCUAUCCACUUUCCUUUGGACCUCCAGAAAGGAAAGGAAGGCCUUGCUUGGCGUAUGUCAUUAGUUUCCAUCGUGCUGCCUUUGAAACUAGUUUUCUAUUUAACGUCUAGCCUCUUGCAAACUUUUGUGGAUACUUGUGCCAUUUUAAAUACCAGAUUGAGCAAAUUUCUCCCUUCUGUUUAGCCAAGACUCAUCAUCCCAGAGAAUGUUUCUAUUCUAAGACUCAGACCUCCCCCCUCUCAAAAAAGACUCGUGUCUUCCCCAUCAGAUGAGGUAUCUGACAUCAGAAAGAGCUCCCUUUUUCAGAGCCUGCCCUCUCUUAACAGGUGGUGUAAUUUUGAAUUUUCCCUUAUAAUCUGUGGUAGAGAUUGCUGGUUAACCGGCAACAUCUAUUGGCCCAUUCUUCCAAAUAGUAGCAAAUUCCACAAUUCAUCUAGAUGAAUGGAAUAAGAACUAAAUUUUUCAAACUUUCUUAAGGUAGAGCGUAGUCGUCUUACUAAGUUCAAGUAAUGGCAUAUAAGCAGGG